rnacentral:lncRNA from 1 species
CCGUGUUUAAUAUGGCUUUUAAAAGACUCGCCAUUUAAAAUUAUCUGGUUGCUAUGGAAACGUGAGGUAGCAUUUUUUGUUGUUACCUUGGUCAAAACUGAGCCCAGUUUCCCUGGAGAUGAGAGUAUGCCAUCAUAGGAAGCUAACAUAAAGUCUGUCCGUCACAAAGCAUCGAACCGCUGACAAAAAGUUUUGAUUUAAUGUUUUGUGCGUGACAAAAUUGGAAAAUUUGUGUAGUAUUCUGUGCUUGUGUUGAGGAAAAAGCCAUAUUUUAACUGAAUAUGGUUGGGUAGAAAGGAAAAAACACUAUAUAAAGAUGACUAGGAAAGGAAAAGGUUUCUCUGGUAUACGAAGGGCAAUAAUAAAGCGAAAGAGGAGAGCAAAGCAUCGAUCGAGGAGACGGCUGAGACAUCGUGAUGAUGAACCUGCGUGUGUAUAAAUGUGAAUAGCUCUUUGGGGAAGACGAUGAAAUUACAAAACGAUGCUAGAGCUACAGAGUUGGCUGAUGUCUUUCCAGGUCUGCCUGGCAAUGAUGAAGAUGGAUAUAGGUUGAGAAAUAUAAAACAUUCAGCCUCUGUGUUCUCUGAAAUUCAUGUUUGCGAUGAAGGUAUUUAGUGAUAAUUUGUUUUUAAAUUGGCUUUGCCAGUUUGCCCUAUCACCCAAAUAUUAUAUUUGUUUGUUAUCUUGGCAUUGUACAAGUGAUAAAAUGAAAUUCUUACAUACUGUAAGUUUUAUCAGCUAUUUUUGCUUUGUUUAUUUAUUAUAUAAAUUAUGUGCACUUUUGAUAUAUGCCUUGGGUUGCUAUGUCGAACCUACACCUCAACUAAUAAGAUUUUGCCUUAAACUUUUAGGUAAACAAGAAGAGCUGAAGCCAACUUUUGUAUAACUGAGUAAGUGAUACAAAGCUGCAUGAGAGAUGGGUACAUGGCACAACCUCAAAACCCAAAUGAAUGCCUGAACCCCUGGUAUCAACCCAUAUCGGCUUGAUGUCCAAAGCAUAAACAUCACAGCGUCCACACUGUUCACUGUACUGUUGCUUCAGCUUUUUGCCAUUUCCGUAGUUGGUGCUGCAAGCAGAGAAAUGAUUAUGGAGGGACAUUCCAUACCUGCUGGUCACCAUACAAGGCAUAAUUCCUUUGUACGUGACAAGAAGAGGUUAAGAAAAUUUGAUUUUCAUACCAACCAGAAGCAAACGAAACGUCGCGAAUGACACGCCUUCCUGCCAAUACAAAGGGAAGAGGCUCUUCAUGAAGCUGAGGAAGUCAGUUUUGAAGCAGCAAGGUUUUAAACAACUCCCUGUUUCAUUUAAUGCAUGAAAUAAUGACUUGCACAGUCCAAAUAUUUCCUAUUCCGCUUUUUAAGACAUGGCAACUUUUAAAGCUGAUUUUCUCCAAAUACCUGUUUUUCACAGUUGAGAAAAGAUAACUCGACUAGUAUUUGCUCUAAGAGAGCUUUCUUGGAUAAGCAUAGAGAUUUUUGAAAUGUCUAAUUUUAAGGAAGUUAUGAAUCAAAACGUGACACUUUCUUGUUCACAAACUUUGACCAACCACUGUGUCAAUUCCUUUUAUAAUAUAAAAAAUUCUAUGCUUAUCCAAGAAAACCACUUGUAAUCUUUCAUUUGGCACAAAAAAUAAGCAAUUUAAUGCAAUACCCAGUCUUAAAUCUUUUCUCAAAGGAAGAUGGGGAACUCACAGCAUGUGGUAGCCGGUGUCGGGUUACAAUGUAAUUAUUGAUAAUAUAAAUUAUAUUUUCAGAAUCUAUGUUUCAUUAGCUUUCAUAUGAUAUAU